AUUCUGUCACAUGGUUUCCACUGGGCUCCUAACUGUCAUUUAACUGUCUGCAAAGAAUGAAACAGUUUAUUGAGGAUGGUGCACGUCUUUGAUUGUAGCACUGGGCACUGGAAAAGCAGAGGCAGGCUAAUCUCUUGUCCUCAUCCUGCUUCUGCCAACUGUGCAUUGACAUCCUAGCCAUCGAAGUGACGAAGUGAGGAGAGGAAUGCUUCCAUCAAUGUUAUAAAUCUACCAAGAGAGCAAACAGGACCCUAGCAUGGCUGCCUUCC